CUCAAAGGAAUUGACGGGGACCCGCACAAGCGGUGGAUGAUGUGGUUUAAUUCGAUGCAACGCGAAAAACCUUACCUACCCUUGACAUGCCUGGAAUCCUGCAGAGAUGUGGGAGUGCUCGAAAGAGAACCAGGACACAGGUGCUGCAUGGCCGUCGUCAGCUCGUGUCGUGAGAUGUUGGGUUAAGUCCCGCAACGAGCGCAACCCUUGUCAUUAGUUGCUACGAAAGGGCACUCUAAUGAGACUGCCGGUGACAAACCGGAGGAAGGUGGGGAUGACGUCAGGUCCUCAUGGCCCUUAUGGGUAGGGCUACACACGUCAUACAAUGGCCGGUACAGAGGGUUGCCAACCCGCGAGGGGGAGCCAAUCCCAGAAAACCGGUCGUAGUCCGGAUUGCAGUCUGCAACUCGACUGCAUGAAGUCGGAAUCGCUAGUAAUCGCGGAUCAGCUUGCCGCGGUGAAUACGUUCCCGGGUCUUGUACACACCGCCCGUCACACCAUGGGAGC
rnacentral:rRNA from 1 species